AUUGAACGCUGGCGGCAGGCCUAACACAUGCAAGUCGAACGGUAACAGGAAGCAGCUUGCUGCUUCGCUGACGGCUGGCGGGCGGGUGAGUAGUGACUGGGAUACUGCCUGAUGGGGGGGGAUAACUACUGAAAACGGUAGCCAAUACCGCAUAACGUCGCAAGACCAAUGAGGGGGACAUUAGGGCCUCUUGCCAUGGGAUGUGCCCAGGUGGGCGUAGCUAGUAGGUGGGGUAACGGCUCAACUAGGCGACGAUCCCUAGCUGGUCUGAGGGGAUGACCAUCCACACGGGAACUUAGACGCGGUCCUGACGCCUACGGGAGGCACCAGUGUGGUAUAUUGCACAACGGGCGCAAUCCUUAUGCAGCCGUGCCGCGUGUAGGAAGAAGGCCUUGCGGCCGUAAUGUACGUUCAGCGGGGAGGAAGCGAGUAAAGUUAAUACCUAGCGUCAGUGACGUUACUGGCAGAAGAAGCACCGGCUAACUCCGUG
rnacentral:rRNA from 1 species